AUACCUACCUGGCACAGGCUUUACAGCAUCCCGGAAGGCUGUACCAAAGGACCUUCCACGCGCGCAUUGGCUUUGGUUGGAUUCCCCUGCGAUCGUCCCAAAAUGUGGACGACUCGGGUGCGCAAUUUAUAUGUGGGGGAUCAAAAAUUGCGCUUCCCUU